CACCACCACACCUCCACCUACAUCCACACCUCCACCUACAUCCACACCUCCACCUACCUCUCCUCCUGGUUCCUCUGUCAUACCUUUGCUGUCAUCUGUUGGAUCAGUCUGUGUUGUGGUUCUACUGGUAUUACUGGUUCUGCUGGUGAGACGAUGCGUUCACAGGAAACCUGAAGCAGAUCUAGAAGAAUCUGGUAAAGAUGACAUCAUCACUCAUGUCGUGUACAAUAUUAUAAAGCUAUUACAUCAUCCACAGCCAAUCAGACCAAGCAGAGAGCAUGAAUAAGCUGAAGACGUCAGUUGUGGACAAACAAGGAGGCCCAGGUACAGCUGCUCUUUGUCUUUGACUGUGGAAAGAGACAAGCAUCACCCUGAUUACAGCCAUAAGCUAAGCUAAACAAACCACACCAUGAAUCAGACUCACAUCUCAGGCAUAUGAAGGAUAGACUAGUUCAAGCUGCACGGAGCUGAGCAGGAGGACAGGAACAGACUUAGAACAUAUGAUGGAAACCUGUGAUUUGUAUCUGAGCUGGUUCCCAGUAAAGUCUGCUCGGUAAAUCUAAUCUCUGUCCGAAAGGAAACAGGAUGUUGUUUGAACUGUGCGUGUUUGUGUUCAGACUUUAAACCAUGCUGCUGGUCUCUAACUGGUCCCCACAGCACCUCAGACCAGCGGACAUCCACAGACGUUUUAUGCAAUUUUAUGCAAUUUUAACGUAUUGUAUGUAUUUUAUGACUAUUGCUUCUUUUAUUAACUUUGCUCUUUUGUAAUGUGACCUUGGGUUUUUGAAAGGUGCCCUUAAAAUAAAAUACAUUAUUAUUAUUAUUAUUAUUAUUACUGUUAUUAUUGUUAUGUCUUUUGUCUCUAUUUAAAUAUGUAUUUUACUGUAAAAUCAACAUUGUGAACAUAAGUAUGUUAAUUUGUUUUGGGUCAUCAAUAUUUUCACUUAUAUUUGUUUUAUCUUUGUGUUUCUUGUAUAAACAAAGUUCUCGAUUGUUUUCCUCGUGUGGUUCUGUGGGUUUCACCAAAGUGUCAGAUGGAACAUUUGAGCUGUUCUGUCUGAUUGUGGUUAACUGCUACACUCCUCUCUUUAGUGCAGAAAACAAACAGAAAACAUUAGACCACAACCGCAGACUUAAAGCAAUAGGAACAUUGUUCAGUGGUUUAAAAUAGCAGUGGAAAUAUCUGUAAAGUAUUUGUGUGGUGUGGAGUUUUUGGCUAUUUUUUCUUUUGACACUUUUGUUUGCUGCUUCAAACCCUGGAAAGUUUUCACUCAUUGUGUCUGACCUUGUUUUUGAAGUAGAAGCAAAUUAU